GUGCACAGCAUUUCAUAUAAAAUCAAUAACCUCAAAUAAAAGAAUUCAUAAAUAUAAUAAAAACAAAACUAUCUAGCUCUAAAUCAUAGCUAACAUGAAAACGUAGCAUACUAAAAAACAAAUUCAUCAUUCAAAACAAGCUAAAUAACUAAAACAUAAAUAAAUCAGCCUGUAUAUCAGUAUAUCUAUUCAAAUUGCUUAAAACAAACAAACUAAAACAAUUAUUAAAUCAUUUCAGGUAACUUGAACAACACACAAGCUCAAGCAACCAACUAAACUGUAUCCGAUUGCUUCAUCAACAAGUAAUAUCAACAAACAGAUAUUCAUAAACAAAAAACCCUAAAUUACAGAUCUAAACAAUCAACAGAACUAACACAUGAGCAAAUCAGCCUGUACAUCUAUCCAAAUUGCAAUUACUAAAUCAUUUCAGGUAACUUGAA
rnacentral:lncRNA from 1 species